rnacentral:rRNA from 1 species
CAUUAGCCGCGGUAAUACGGAGGGUGCAAGCGUUAAUCGGAAUUACUGGGCGUAAAGCGCACGCAGGCGGUCUGACAAGUCAGAUGUGAAAUCCCCGGGCUUAACCUGGGAACUGCAUUUGAAACUGUCAGGCUGGAGUCUUGUAGAGGGGGGUGGAAUUCCAGGUGUAGCGGUGAAAUGCGUAGAGAUCUGGAGGAAUACCGGUGGCGAAGGCGGCCCCCUGGACAAAGACUGACGCUCAGGUGCGAAAGCGUGGGGAGCAAACAGGAUUAGAUACCCGUGUAGUCCCUGUCUCUUAUAC